rnacentral:rRNA from 1 species
UACGUAGGUGGCAAGCGUUGUCCGGAUUUACUGGGUGUAAAGGGCGUGUAGCCGGGCUGACAAGUCAGAUGUGAAAUCCGGGGGCUCAACCCCCGAACUGCAUUUGAAACUGUUGGUCUUGAGUAUCGGAGAGGCAGGCGGAAUUCCUAGUGUAGCGGUGAAAUGCGUAGAUAUUAGGAGGAACACCAGUGGCGAAGGCGGCCUGCUGGACGACAACUGACGGUGAGGCGCGAAAGCGUGGGGAGCAAACGGG